rnacentral:tRNA from 1 species
GGGGGCGUGGCGAAAUUGGUAGACGCACUGGAUUUAGGUUCCAGCGCCGCAAGGUGUAAGAGUUCGAGUCUCUUCGUUCUCCACCA